UACGUAGGGUGCGAGCGUUAAUCGGAAUUACUGGGCGUAAAGCGUGCGUAGGCGGUUCGUUAAGUCAGCUGUGAAAGCCCCGGGCUCAACCUGGGAACUGCGGUUGAAACUGGCGAACUAGAAUCUGGCAGAGGGGGGUGGAAUUCCACGUGUAGCAGUGAAAUGCGUAGAGAUGUGGAGGAACACCGAUGGCGAAGGCAGCCCCCUGGGCUGAGAUUGACGCUCAGGCACGAAAGCGUGGGGAGCAAGCAGG
rnacentral:rRNA from 1 species